GACGAACGCUGGCGGCGUGCUUAACACAUGCAAGUCGAACGGUGAAGCGCCUUCCUUUUUGGUGGGUGUGGAUGAGUGGCGAACGGGUGAGUAACACGUGAGUAACCUGCCCCCUUCUUCUGGAUAACCGCAUGAAAGUGUGGCUAAUACGGGAUAUUCUGGGUCUGUCGCAUGAUGGGUCUGGGAAAGAUAUUGUUUCGGUGGGGGAUGGGCUCGCGGCCUAUCAGCUUGUUGGUGGGGUGAUGGCCUACCAAGGCGGUGACGGGUAGCCGGCCUGAGAGGGUGGACGGUCACACUGGGACUGAGACACGGCACAGACUCCUACGGGAGGCAGCAGUGGGGAAUAUUGCACAAGGGGAGCAAGCCUGAUGCAGCGACGCCGCGUGAGGGAUGGAGGCCUGCGGGUUGUGAACCUCUUUCGCCAGUGAAGCAGGCCUGCCUCGUUUGUGGGUGGGUUGACGGUAGCUGGAUAAGAAGCGCCGGCUAACUACGUG
rnacentral:rRNA from 1 species